AUGAAUAGCAUAACCAUCCCAAUUAUGAAUUGGAACGUCCGCGGCUUGAACUCGCCGGGGAAGAGGGCCAACAUUUGCGAGGUUGCCGACGCUCACAGCCUCGCUCUAUUGUGCUUGCAAGAGACGAAGAUCGACACCUGGUUGCCUGAGCUGGUUAGGGAGGUUGGAGGCCGCAGACUUGACAACUGCGCUGUGCUGCCUGCGUUGGGCACCCGCGGUGGCGCCGCGAUUUUCUGGGACUCCACCAAGAUCACAAUCGCCACACAAUUCGUGGGGCAAUUCUCCAUCACUGCCAGAGCUUUCCUCCCCCAUGGUGGUCUCUCCUUCUGGAUCACCAUGGUCUACGGCCCAACCGACGGCACCAGGAAAGAUGAUUUCCUCGAGGAGCUGAGCAGAAGCAGACCUCCUCUUGGCGAACCAUGGCUAAUCAUCUGA
rnacentral:rRNA from 1 species